UACGAAGGGGGCUAGCGUUGUUCGGAAUUACUGGGCGUAAAGGGCUCGUAGGCGGCCAACUAAGUCAGACGUGAAAUCCCUCGGCUUAACCGGGGAACUGCGUCUGAUACUGGUUGGCUUGAGUGUGGGAGAGGGAUGCGGAAUUCCAGGUGUAGCGGUGAAAUGCGUAGAUAUGCGGAGGAACACCGAUGGCGAAGGCAAUCCCCUGGACCUGUACUGACGCUCAUGCACGAAAGCGUGGGGAGCAAACAGG
rnacentral:rRNA from 1 species